AGAAUCAACGCUGGCGGCGUGCCUAACACAUGCAAGCCGAACGAGAAAGGGUAGCAAUACCUGAGUACAGUGGCGCACGGGUGAGUAACACGUGACUAACCUACCCUGGAGUGGGGAAUAACUGAGGGAAACCUUAGCUAAUACCGCAUAAUACCUACGGGUCAAAGGAGCAAUUCGCUUCAGGAGGGGUCGCGGCCGAUUAGUUAGUUGGCGGGGUAAUGGCCCACCAAGACAGUGAUCGGUA
rnacentral:rRNA from 1 species